AAAAAAAAAAAAAAAAAAAAGAAGAC
rnacentral:antisense_RNA from 1 species